AUUGAACGCUGGCGGCAUGCCUUACACAUGCAAGUCGAACGGCAGCACGGGAGCAAUCCUGGUGGCGAGUGGCGAACGGGUGAGUAAUAUAUCGGAACGUGCCCGGUCGUGGGGGAUAACGUAGCGAAAGCUACGCUAAUACCGCAUACGAUCUACGGAUGAAAGCGGGGGAUCGCAAGACCUCGCGCGAUUGGAGCGGCCGAUAUCAGAUUAGGUAGUUGGUGAGGUAAAGGCUCACCAAGCCGACGAUCUGUAGCUGGUCUGAGAGGACGACCAGCCACACUGGGACUGAGACACGGCCCAGACUCCUACGGGAGGCAGCAGUGGGGAAUUUUGGACAAUGGGCGCAAGCCUGAUCCAGCAAUGCCGCGUGCAGGAUGUAGGCCUCGGUUGUAACGUAGCUUUUGUUACGGUAAC
rnacentral:rRNA from 1 species